ensembl:lncRNA
UGACAUUUUUAAUGCAUUUAAAUCUUUUAAUAUGUUAAAAGUGAAUAUAAACAUGACAGUGACCUUUAUAAAACAUACUCAUAAUACUCAUAAUGCUGUAACAGGGCAGCAUCAUAGAGAGGCCAUGUUUCCCAGGAAGCUUCCAGCCCAGUCUAGGCCAACAUAGAUGUGAGGUGUGCCCUGCCCACUUUUUCUGUCAUGAAAACGGUAUGAAUGAUAUUUGCAACAAAUUAAUGGAUGAAAUAUAUAUCUCUUCUUUAUGCCUUUACAGUACAUAAGGAUGUUUUUCUUGUAACUAGGUAUGACGCAACCAUUCCCAUGUCAGCCUGGAUUUUAUUGUCCAGUUGGGGCAUCUAAUCAGCAUCCAUGUCCUCCAGGGAGUUAUGGGAACCUGUCUGGAUUGGCCGAGUCUUCUGAAUGCUCUCAAUGUGACCCUGGGACCUAUUGUAUGGGGUCAGGAAAUGUGUCACCAACUGGCUCUUGCAGUGCUGGAUUCUUGUGUUUUGGAGGAGCCGUCCUUCCCUCCCCAAAUGAUAAUGAGACUGGAAUACUGUGUGCAACUGGGUCUUACUGUCCAGCUGGAAGUUUUGCAGGAAUACCUUGUCCCAAGGGCACAUUUAGCAAUCAGCGUCAAUUGUCAGAUGUAAGUCAAUGCCAAAACUGCACACCAGGGUUUUAUUGCUCAGAGCCAGGCCUGACCACAGUCAGUGGACCCUGCUUGCCAGGGUUUUUCUGCAGUGAAGGAUCUCCGACUUCAGCUCCUGUGUCAGCCGUGUAUGGUGAUAUUUGUCCUCCAGGUCACUAUUGUGAAAUUGGUAGUGCUGUGCCAACUCCCUGUCCAGUGGGCAGCUGGCACCCUGAUAGUGGGGGAAAGGGCACAGAUGAUUGCAUGCCUUGCCCUGGAGGUACUGUGUUACUCCAUUUUAGAGAUAUACUGUAUGCUCCUUUGACUUUAUAUAGCUCCAUUUUAGCGAAAUUUACUUUAGUUAGGAAGUUACUACCAUUUCUAGAAGAGGUCAAAUGCAAAAAUCAUUUGUACUCAUGGGUCUUUUUAUGUAUUGCUGUUGUUGUUUGAUCGCAGGUCAGUUUCAGGAUCAGAAGGGACAGAGUGAGUGUAAACCCUGUCCUCCAGGUUUCUAUUGCAUCAACCUCACAAAAGGUUUUAUGGGGGUCAGCACUCCUUUGGUCUGUCCUGAAGGCUUUUACUGCCCCAGUGAGACUCAGUCUGGAAACCCAGUUCCAUGUCCCAAAGGCACAUACAGUGAUUCUCUUGGCCUCAUUUCAGCAGGUGAUUUAUUCAGUUCUGUAUUGCAAUAACUGAGCAAGUGAACAUGAUUUAAAUGCAUUCUUCUGUUUAUAUCUUGUUUACUGGGUUUGUUUUUUGUAUAAAUGCAGAGCAGUGCCUGGUGUGCCCUAUGGGACAUUUCUGCGGUUCAGAUGGACUCUCUGAGCCCUCGGGGCCCUGUGCCCCUGGAUUCCUCUGUUUUGUGCAGGCCACAGUUCCCAACCCCACUGACAACAGCACUGGCACUUUGUGUCCACCGGGGGCAUACUGCCUUCUGGGAACAAGAGCAGGUGCUCUUUGGAACAGUGUUAUUUUAGUAUUAUUUAUACAAUAUUGUACGAUUUAUUAAUAUUUUUAAUUUGUAUAUUUUCUCUUUUUAAUUUUUAGCAAUUAUUUUAUGUGCUUUUGUCAUUUUUAUUCUUUUUUGUUGCUUUUAAAUAUUUGCGUUUAGCUUUCAUUUACAUUUUAGUUUUAGCAAUUUUUGUACAUUCAAUUUUUAUUUCAGCUUUUCAUUUAAUAUAUGUAUUUCAUUUCAGUUUCAUUUAAAUGAAUGAACCAUUUUAGUUUUAGUUAACAAUAACAACACUAUGGAGGAGUCUUCAGGGUUUUCAUUAGGGUAUUCAACCUUUA